rnacentral:rRNA from 1 species
ACGGGUGAGUAACGCGUGGAAAUCUACCCAGAUCUUCGGAACAACUGAGGGAAACUUCAGCUAAUACCGGAUACGCCCUACGGGGGAAGGAUUUAUCGGUUCUGGAUGAGCCCGCGUUGGAUUAGCUAGUUGGUGGGGUAAUGGCCUACCAAGGCGACGAUCCAUAGCUGGUCUGAGAGGAUGAUCAGCCACACUGGGACUGAGACACGGCCCAGACUCCUACGGGAGGCAGCAGUGGGGAAUAUUGGACAAUGGGCGAAAGCCUGAUCCAGCCAUGCCGCGUGAGUGAUGAAGGCCUUAGGGUUGUAAAGCUCUUUCAGUAGGGAAGAUAAUGACGGUACCUACAGAAGAAGCCCCGGCUAACUUCGUGCCAGCAGCCGCGGUAAUACGAAGGGGGCUAGCGUUGUUCGGAUUUACUGGGCGUAAAGCGCACGUAGGCGGAUCGUUAAGUCGGGGGUGAAAUCCUGGAGCUCAACUCCAGAACUGCCUUCGAUACUGGCGAUCUUGAGUCCGGAAGAGGUGAGUGGAACUCCUAGUGUAGAGGUGGAAUUCGUAGA